rnacentral:ncRNA from 2 species
UGUCAGGCGGGUGGCGAUUUGUCUCCGGAUUGCAGGCCACGUUAAACAAUCUGCUAAAAAGGUGGCGGGUUUUGCAGA